rnacentral:rRNA from 1 species
UACGUAGGGGGCAAGCGUUGUCCGGAAUCAUUGGGCGUAAAGCGCGUGUAGGCGGUUCAGUAAGUCUGCUGUGAAAGUCCAGGGCUCAACCCUGGGAUGCCGGUGGAUACUGCUGGGCUAGAGUACGGAAGAGGCGAGUGGAAUUCCGGGUGUAGUGGUGAAAUGCGUAGAGAUCCGGAGGAACACCAGUGGCGAAGGCGACACGCUGGGCCGUACCUGACACUGAUGCGCGACAGCAUGGGGAGCAAACAGG